UUUAUUUGUCACAUUUCAACCCAUAAAUCUCCUUCCUCCUCCAUAGAAAUCCUUGAUUCUGAUACAACCUGCCUCUUUCUUCUGAUAUUUUCUUCUUCUCUGCGAUGGAAUUCCAUACCAAUUGUUAAACAAUAGCAGACAAGACUGCAAAAUAUGGUUUGGGGCUUCUUCCCCGUCGAUCCUCUUUCAGGCGAGGAGAAAUUCUAUAUUUUUGCUCCUGGAAAGUAUAAAGUGGGUCGCAAAGGCUGUGAUUUGACCAUAACGAAAGAUAAAGGAGUUUCUCGCAUCCAUGCAGAAAUAGUUGUUGAUGCUAUGAUAUUUUUAAAUUCCCAUGGGAGUUAUUUAUCCAACGUUUCCUCUAAAGUGCGGAUAAGCGAUUGCUCCAAGUAUGGGACAUUUGUUAGCAGGAAUUCAGGGUUGAAGGAGAAAAUUCACGAGCUUCCCAAAAAAGAAGCAAGUUUGUGUGAUGGAGAUGUGGUUUCAUUUGGAUCUGGCAAUGCAACCUACAGGUUCUCUUUCGUGCCACUCCUGUUUUACGUUCACUGUUCAGAGUCCUUCCAAUUACAACUGCUUAGAGACAAGGUUUCGUCCAUCGGUGCUUCUACUUCCCAUGAUAGUCUGGAGUGUACACAUGUUCUUGUAGAGGAACUGAUGUCUUUUAAUGAACCUCUAAUUGAUGCCAUCAUCGCUGAGAAACCUUUUGUUCUUUCAAGUUGGGUUGAGUUAUUUGCAGGAAGAACCUCAUGCAAUGAGAUUCCAUGCACUGAUUCCUAUCAUCCUACAAUGACGGUGGAAGGGAUGCAUGUCAAAGUUGUGGACCCUAAAACUCGUAAAAACUGUUUGAUUGGAUACAUCUUUUUAUUAGGGUCAACACAUAUGAAAUACAAGUAUGGGGAUCGGUUGAAGAUGUUAUUGCAACAAGUUGGUGGUGCGAAUGUUUCAUCCAUUGAAGGCUUCUCUUCAGAUAGCAAAGACCUUGGAAAUGGAGACAAUGAUCGGAUAGUAUUUGUUACCCCUCAAGGAUCAGCAGAAAAGUUGGAUUCAUUUUAUAAGGUUGAUUCUUAUUAUAAAAUAAAUGAGUUGGUCUUGAUAUCUUCUAUUUUGAGUGGAAAGCUGGACAGAGACAAUUUGAUAUCACCCUGUGAACCUGGUUCCUCUACAUGCUCCACUGAUGAGACCGUGGUAGCAGAAUCCGAUCUCGAAGUGGAAACGGCUAAACCAGUUGAUACUGCUUCGAACGUACAAAGGCCAGAUGAAUAUUUAAGCAAACCAGAUGUGUUCGUUAACAAUGCCACUACUGGAUCAGCAGGUAGCCAUGAAACAUUCCAAGAUGGUUACAGCAGCGUUGAAACAAGAAAAGACAAGGUCAAUGAAUCUGACAACAGAAAUUUAGACAUUAUAUUUAAUCAAAAUUUAAUUGUGCGGCAUGUGACGGAACCCUCCACAAUAGUUACUGCAGAAGACGGUGGAGUUACAAACUUCAAACGCUUCAGAAAGACAGAAACUCAGUCUGGGAAUAGCUUUUACAACCUUGUUCCAUUUGCGAAGUAUCCUUACAAGGAUAAUGGCGAUGGGAGGGAGGAAAUUGCAGAGUCCUUGAAAGAAGAAAGAAAGCGCAAGGAAAAAGAAGCCAUAGCUGAGGAUUUAUUUCAUAACGAGAAGGGACGGCGCCGUGGAAUGGUUGGUUCCCUUCAAGAGCUUUUUACUCGUUCUUAAAACAGGUGUUUAGACACAGUUUAGUAUUUGCAUCGGUAUUCGUGGAUUCGAAGAUACAAGAAGGGGGAUACCAUUUGCUACCGAGUAGGAAAUGUCGUUGGAACUUGUCCUCUUUGAAACAAAGGACACUUCUGAUACUGUCGAUACUUGAAAUAGUUUAAUCUUUCCUUGACCAGUAAUUGUAUAUUUGAAGGUUCAAGAAUAGGGAUACCAUUUGCAGCACAGCGGGAAAUGCUUUUGGCAAUUUUGGGUUAUGUAUUGAAAGUGCUUUGGGCUAUGUGAAAAGUAUCUGUACCAGAAAGGGAAAAAAAGUUUGGUGAGAAAGCACUUCUAUGAGUGCUUCUGCUCCAUCCAAGUAAGUGUUUGGCUGUAAAGCAUUCAUAAGUACCUUUAAAAUACCUUUCCUGAAAACACUCCUAAUAUUACCUUAAAUAAUUGAUUCCCUUUUGCUUUCUCUUGUGAAACUCUAUUUUUUUUUUUAAUUGGGAAAACUACUUGUCUGGUCCUUAGUUUUUUGCAUUUGGCCCCUACGUUUUAAAAUUGGGUCUUUUCCUCAGAUUUUGAGAAA